CUACGGGUCGCUGCAGUGGGGAAUAUUGGACAAUGGGCGAAAGCCUGAUCCAGCAAUACCAUGUGUGUGAUGAAGGCCCUCGGGUUGUAAAGCACUGUCAGGAGGAACGAAAAAGUCUGUGUAACGACAGACCUUGACGGUACCUCCAAAGGAAGCACCGGCUAACUCCGUGCCAGCAGCCGCGGUAAUACGGAGAGUGCAAGCGUUGUUCGGAAUCACUGGGCGUAAAGCGCGCGUAGGCGGCACGAUCAGUCAGAUGUGAAAUCCCUCGGCUCAACCGAGGACGUGCAUCUGAUACUGUCGAGCUAGAGUAUCGGAGGGGAUGGUGGAAUUCCUGGUGUAGAGGUGAAAUUCGUAGAUAUCAGGAGGAACCCCUGUGGCGAAGGCGACCAUCUGGACGAUAACUGACGCUGAGGUGCGAAAGCGUGGGUAGCAAACAGGAUUAGAUACCCGAGUAGUC
rnacentral:rRNA from 1 species